rnacentral:rRNA from 1 species
UACGGAGGGCGCAAGCGUUGUUCGGAAUUACUGGGCGUAAAGCGCGUGUAGGCGGCCAGGUAAGUCGGGUGUGAAAUCCCGGGGCCCAACCCCGGAACUGCACCCGAUACUGCCCGGCUGGAGUCCCGGAGAGGAUGGCGGAAUUUCCGGUGUAGAGGUGAAAUUCGUAGAUAUCGGAAGGAACACCAGUGGCGAAGGCGGCCAUCUGGACGGUGACUGACGCUGAGACGCGAAAGCGUGGGGAGCGAACAGG